AUCUUAAUUUGGGCUUUGUUAUUGAAAUUUAACGUUGGCCCGGUUACGUUCUUAGGGUUCUUAUCGUUCUUCGAUCUCUGCCAUACGGAGAGACAUAUCUGCUUCUGUGGCUUCACGGAUUCUGUUCCUGUGUUUGGAUCACGUCCUUUAGCCUUCUUUCGAUCACUCGAAACAAAACUACUUCCAGAUCAAUCGCAUUAAACAUGUUUUUAAUUCCUUUGGCCACGAUCUACACUUUAAUGUGUGUUGAUCUUCGGUGUUUCUACUGGUAUAAAAAGAUAUGCUUUCUUCCUCUCAAAACCAUUCUCUCUCUUUUUCAUCUCUCUUUGCGAUUUCUCUGAGAUUCCAAGUUCCCGUUGUUAUUGUUCAGAAUUGCUACUGUUUAUGUAUCUGACCGGAGCUAGAUACGGCGGUGUUGGGCUAUUCCAGAAAGCAACAGGACUUGAAUCGCUUCAUCUCAACGGCUGCAGUUUCAGCAACCGUAAAAACAACAAAGAAAGCUUAUUUCCUUCAAAUGGCUAGCUCCUCUGAUCUGAAGUAGGUUCAUGUUCUUCCACCGUUGAGGUUAAGUUGCCGCGUUUAGCUCUAACUGGAAGUUCGCCGUAUGUCUCUCUUUGGUAACGGAGCUUACGUAUUCCUCUAAGGGAUCCCAAUCUCAAUCACCACCACACCGUUGUUCAUGAAGGAAUUGGAUUCCCUUGCUGGGUUCUUCCAGAUCUUAUGUCUUUUCCUGAGUGAUUCAGACAAGAUGCUUACGACAAGCUUGAUGUGAUUGGUAUUGACGAAACAGAGAACUGGAGAUCUUUAUGAGUUUUGCUGCAAAGACGCUGAUGAUGAUGGCAACACUGUUAUUGUUGCAGUCGUUGAUAGUGAUUAUUUAAGGAGGAGUUGGUGAUGUUCUUGAUAUUGUACCAAUAGAUGAUUCUGUCACAAAGCUAACUGCAAGGUGUGAGGUUUGUGGACACAAAGGUUUCUUCACUGUGAGGAAGACUUGUGACACCAGAACCGAGUUCAUUCGGUGGGAUAAUAAUCAAAUUGUCAUCAAAGCUUCAAAGUAAGUUUUGGAUUCUGACGUAAGAGCUGACACCUGUAUGGAGACAGUUGCUACUAUGAUCUAACUAUGACUUGCUGUGGAACGAGCUAAGCAUAUAUUAUAGUGAGAUUCUGUUCUUUGAAAGUGCCGUGUUGGUUUGUUAUUUUUUAGUCUUACAAGUUUUUUUUUUUGUAAAAGGCUUUCAUUUUUUUUAAUAGUA